rnacentral:rRNA from 1 species
UGGAGUCUGUGUGGAAGGCGGUGUCCAAGUCCCUUGGAACAGGGCGCCCAGGAGGGUGAGAGCCCCGUGGGAUGCCGGCGGAAGCAGUGAGGCCCUUCUGACGAGUCGAGUUGUUUGGGAAUGCAGCUCCAAGCGGGUGGUAAAUUCCAUCUAAGGCUAAAUACUGGCGAGAGACCGAUAGCGAACAAGUACUGUGAAGGAAAGAUGAAAAGCACUUUGAAAAGAGAGUGAAACAGCACGUGAAAUUGUUGAAAGGGAAGGGUAUUGCGCCCGACAUGGGGAUUGCGCACCGCUGCCUCUCGUG